UGCAUGGUGCAGAUGGCAGCGCCAUUUUCAGAGCUAUAAACAGUAUCAUUGUCAUAGCUCUUUGAAUGGUACUGCCAUAUGUACUGGAGAAUCA
ensembl:miRNA